rfam:Candidatus Regiella insecticola 5.15 Rin_2504560342.491, whole genome shotgun sequence.
AGUUAAGUAAUGAAGCGUACAGGGCGGAUGCCUAGGCAGUCAGAGGCGAAGAAGGGCGUGCAAAUCUGCGAAAAGCGACGGUGAGCUGAUAGGAAGCGUGAUUAGCCGUUGAUACCCGAAUGGGGAAACCCAGUGCAAGCAGUUGCACUAUCGUUAGAUGAAUAAACUAGUUUAACGAGGCGAACCGGGAGAAGUGAAACAUCUAAGUACCCCGAGGAAAAGAAAUCAACCGAGAUUUCCUGAGUAGCGGCGAGCGAAAGGGAAGCAGCCCAGAGUGUGCAUCGUUAUUGUUAUCAGAGGAAAGGUCUGGAAAGGCCUGCGAAAGAGGGUGAUAGCCCCGUACUCGAAGAUAGCAGUAGUGUGAGCUCGAAGAGUAGGACGGGACACGAGAAAUCCUGUUUGAAGAAGGGGGGCCCAUCCUCCAAGGCUAAAUACUCCUGACUGACCGAUAGUGAACGAGUACCGUGAGGGAAAGGCGAAAAGAACCCCGGUAAGGGGAGUGAAAUAGACCCUGAAACCCUGUACGUACAAGCAGUGGGAGCCUGCUUCAUGCGCGAGUGUGAAGAGGGGGUGACUGCUUACCUUUUGUAUAAUGGGUCAGCGACUUAUAUUCUGUAGCGAGGUUAACCGAGUAGGGGAGCCGUAGGGAAACCGAGUCUUAACUGGGCGAUUAGUUGCAGGGUAUAGACCCGAAACCCGGUGAUCUAGCCAUGCGCAGGCUGAAGGUUGGGUAAAACUAACUGGAGGGCCGAACCGACUCCUGUUGAAAAAGUAGCGGAUGACGUGUGGCUGGGGGUGAAAGGCCAAUCAAACCGGGAGAUAGCUGGUUCUCCCCGAAAGCUAUUUAGGUAGCGCCUCGUGGGUUAAUCUUUGGGGGUAGAGCACUGUUUCGGCUAGGGGGCCAUCCCGGCUUACCACCCCGAUGCAAACUGCGAAUACCGAAGAAUGAGACCACGGGAGACACACGGCGGGUGCUAACGUCCGUCGUGGAAAGGGAAACAACCCAGACCGCCAGCUAAGGUCCCGAAGUGAGGGUUAAGUGGGAAACGAAGUGGGAAGGCGAAAACAGCCAGGAUGUUGGCUUAGAAGCAGCCAUCAUUUAAAGAAAGCGUAAUAGCUCACUGGUCGAGUCGGCCUGCGCGGAAGAUGUAACGGGGCUAAACCCUCCACCGAAGCUGCGGCAGUAGCGUUGGAGACGACGUUAUUGGGUAGGGGAGCGUUCUGUAAGCCGUAGAAGGUGAGCUGAGAGGCGAGCUGGAGGUAUCAGAAGUGCGAAUGCUGACAUAAGUAACGAUAAAGCGGGUGAAAAGCCCGCUCGCCGAAAGACCAAGGGUUCCUGUCCCACGUUAAUCGAGGCAGGGUGAGUCGACCCCUAAGGCGAGGCUGAAAAGCGUAGUCGAUGGGAAACGGGUUAAUAUUCCCGUACUGUUUGUGACUGCGAAGGGGGGACGGAGAAGGCUAGACUAUCCGGGUGACGGUAAUCCCGGUUUAAGCGUGUAGGUGGGAGGAGUAGGCAAAUCCGCUUUUCCAUAAACACUGAGGCGUGAUGACGAGGCACUUGAGUGCCAUAAGUAGUUGAUGCCCGGCUUCCAGGAAAAGCCUCUAAGCUUAGGUUACAAACAAUCGUACCCGAAACCGACACAGGUGGUCAGGUAGAGCAUACUAAGGCGCUUGAGAGAACUCGGGUGAAGGAACUAGGCAAAAUGGUGCCGUAACUUCGGGAGAAGGCACGCUGGCAUUAGGUGAGGGGACUUGCUCCCUGUAGCUGAAGUCAGUCGCAGAGACCAGCUGGCUGCAACUGUUUAUUAAAAACACAGCACUGUGCAAACACGUAAGUGGAGGUAUACGGUGUGACGCCUGCCCGGUGCCGGAAGGUUAAUUGAUGGGGUAAGUAGCAAUACGAAGCUCUUGAUCGAAGCCCCGGUAAACGGCGGCCGUAACUAUAACGGUCCUAAGGUAGCGAAAUUCCUUGUCGGGUAAGUUCCGACCUGCACGAAUGGCGUAAUGAUGGCCAGGCUGUCUCCACCCGAGACUCAGUGAAAUUGAAAUGGCUGUGAAGAUGCAGUGUACCCGCGGCAAGACGGAAAGACCCCGUGAACCUUUACUAUAGCUUGACACUGGGAGUUGAAACUGACUGUGUAGGAUAGGUGGGAGACGUAGAAGCGAUGACGCCAGUUGUUGUGGAGUCGCCGUUGAAAUACCACCCUGUGAGUUUUGGUUUUCUAACUCAGCGCCGUGAGCCGGUGCGAGGACAGUGUCUGGUGGGUAGUUUGACUGGGGCGGUCUCCUCCUAAAGCGUAACGGAGGAGCACGAAGGUUAGCUAAUCACGGUCGGACAUCGUGAGGUUAGUGCAAAGGCAUAAGCUAGCUUGACUGCGAGAGUGACGGCUCGAGCAGGUACGAAAGUAGGUCUUAGUGAUCCGGUGGUUCUGAAUGGAAGGGCCAUCGCUCAACGGAUAAAAGGUACUCCGGGGAUAACAGGCUGAUACCGCCCAAGAGUUCAUAUCGACGGCGGUGUUUGGCACCUCGAUGUCGGCUCAUCACAUCCUGGGGCUGAAGUAGGUCCCAAGGGUAUGGCUGUUCGCCAUUUAAAGUGGUACGCGAGCUGGGUUUAGAACGUCGUGAGACAGUUCGGUCCCUAUCUGCCGUGGGCGUAGGAAGAUUGAGGGGGGCUGCUCCUAGUACGAGAGGACCGGAGUGGACGCAUCACUGGUGUUUGGGUUGUCAUGCCAAUGGCAUUGCCCGGUAGCUACAUGCGGAAGAGAUAACCGCUGAAAGCAUCUAAGCGGGAAACUUGCCCCGAGAUGAGUCUUCCCUUGAGGGACGUUUAAGACUAAGACAUUGAUAGGCUGGGUGUGUAAGUGUGGUGACACAUUGAGCUGACCAGUACUAAUGACCCGAUAGGCUUAACUUC